rnacentral:rRNA from 1 species
UACGUAGGGGGCAAGCGUUGUCCGGAAUCAUUGGGCGUAAAGCGCGUGUAGGCGGCCCGAUAAGUCCGCUGUGAAAGUCCAGGGCUCAACCCUGGGAUGCCGGUGGAUACUGUCGGGCUCGAGUCCGGAAGAGGCGAGUGGAAUUCCUGGUGUAGCGGUGAAAUGCGCAGAUAUCAGGAGGAACACCAAUGGCGAAGGCAGCUCGCUGGGACAUGACUGACGCUGAGACGCGAAAGCGUGGGGAGCAAACAGG